rnacentral:rRNA from 1 species
GAUGAACGCUGGCGGCGUGCCUAAUACAUGCAGGUCGAGCGAACGGACGAGAAGCUUGCUUCUCUGAUGUUAGCGGCGGACGGGUGAGUAACACGUGGAUAACCUACCUAUAAGACUGGGAUAACUUCGGGAAACCGGAGCUAAUACCGGAUAAUAUUUUGAACCGCAUGGUUCAAAAGUGAAAGACGGUCUUGCUGUCACUUAUAGAUGGAUCCGCGCUGCAUUAGCUAGUUGGUAAGGUAACGGCUUACCAAGGCAACGAUGCAUAGUCGACCUGAGAGGGUGAUCGGCCACACUGGAACUGAGACACGGUCCAGACUCCUACGGGAGGCAGCAGUAGGGAAUCUUCCGCAAUGGGCGAAAGCCUGACGGAGCAACGCCGCGUGAGUGAUGAAGGUCUUCGGAUCGUAAAACUCUGUUAUUAGGGAAGAACAUAUGUGUAAGUAACUGUGCACAUCUUGACGGUACCUAAUCAGAAAGCCACGGCUAACUACGUG